AUUGAACGCUGGCGGCAGGCCUAACACAUGCAAGUCGAGCGAGCGGCGGACGGGUGAGUAAUGUAUGGGGACUGCCCGAUAGAGGGGGAGAACUACUGGAAAAGGUAGCUCAUACCGCAUACUAUCUGCUAACCCCCAUGGGAUUAGAUAGUAGGUGGGGUAAUGGCUCACCUGGGCGAAGAUCCCUAGCUGGGCGGAGAGGAUGAUCAGCCACACUGGGACUGAGACACGGCCCAGACUCCUACGGCGGCAGCAGUGGGGAAUAUUGCACAAUGGGGGCAAGCCUGAUGCAGCCAUGCCGCGUGUAUGAAGAAGGCCCUAGGGUUGUAAAGUACUUUCAGUCGGGAGGCGUUACCGACAGAAGAAGCACCGGCUAACUCCGUGCCAGCAGCCGCGGUAAUAC
rnacentral:rRNA from 1 species